rnacentral:misc_RNA from 1 species
GAUGAAGAACGCAGCGAAAUGCGAUAAGUAGUGUGAAUUGCAGAAUUCAGUGAAUCAUCGAAUCUUUGAACGCACAUUGCGCCCCUUGGUAUUCCAUGGGGCAUGCCUGUUCGAGCGUCAUUUGUACCCUCAAGCUUUGCUUGGUGUUGGGUGUUUGUCCCGCGUUGCGCGUGGACUCGCCUUAAAGCGAUUGGCAGCCGGCAUAUUGGCCUUGGAGCGCAGCACAUUUUGCGCUUCUAGUCAUGAAUGUUGGCGUCCAUUAAGCCUAUACAUUUGCUCUUGACCUCGGAUCAGGUAGGGAUACCCGCUGAACUUAAGCAUAUCAAUAAGCGGGGA